rnacentral:tRNA from 1 species
GCAUCCAUGGAGCAGUAGUUAGCUCAUUCCUCUCCCAUUCUUACCGCCGAUGGUCGAGUGGUGUGGUCAAAGGAAAGACCCGGGUGCAAAUCCCGGUGGAUGCA